GCCAAGCCCGGACGACGCUGGGACUCCCAAUCACGGCCGCAUGUGAUACAGCCUGGAUUCGAACCAGGUUACUGUAGUGACGCCUCUUGCACUGAGAUGUAGUGCCUUAGACCGCAGCGUCACACGGGAGCCCCUUAUGCUACAUACUUGUAACCUUGUAUCAAAAACAUUUAGUUGUUGAUUGUUUGAUCAUGUGUGCACUUGAUGUGGACCCUAGACCCCGUCAUUCUCCCUCCAUAAAACACUCCCUAAUAAAAUAUCGCGUCACUUCCUUGCCGAUCCCUUAGAAAAAUAAAUAUUAGAAAGGGACGAACGACGCUGGAAAAGAGCGAGAAGAAGCCAGAAUAAAGGAUAAAGAAGAAAAUACCGAUGAAAAGAGGAAUAGUGAGGCGGGAGGAAGAGAAACACGAGCGUAAUCAAACUGUCAUGCCACUCCACAAGUCGGCCCACAAGGCGCCUCGCCUGGACCCCACCAUGAUCUCAGCUCCGCUGGGGGACUUCCGCCACACCAUGCACAUCGGGAGGGGAGGAGAUGCUUUCGGUGACACCUCCUUCCUGGCUACUGUUGGCCCCAGCUCUGACCCUGGGUCUCCGGGUGCCACGGCAACAAACGACUCAAUGGCGCCCGUUGAUUCCGAGAUGCCACUUAACCACACUGAUGAUGUCACAGAUGGCUUCGGAAGCCCACUGAACAGUGAGCUUCAGCAUUCCGAGUCGGUGUCGUCUUUCACACUCGAUAUGGAUUUCGACCUGGGCCCAUCCAUCAUGGGUGAUGUGCUGGGGGUGAUGGAUGGACUGGGGCUGGACUCAGACUGGACUAGGACUCGCGCUAAUGAGGAAGACGUCUCCAGUCCAAGCAAAAGUCUUGUCGUUGAAGUGGAGAAUUUUAAAAUGGCGGCGGAGGAUCAGUCUGUCAGCAUAAGGAACGAGCUGAAUGAGAAGAAGCUUUUAGAGAUCGAGGGAGAUGAGGUGGGACAUGGAAGGAUAAUAGAGGGGACUGGAGGGAUCAAGGCCAAAGGCCAGAGGCCGAAGGUGAGAUUCAGCGACAAACGAGAGGAGAUCAUUCGCCAAGCGUCAGAGGAGGAAGGUCAGGGGUUAGAUGUUGAGGAAGAGUAUGUGAGUCCCACCGAGGAAGAUCGAGAGAGAGGGAACAACGUCAUCAGCUUGCCAGUCGUGGGAAUAGAGGUACAGCCCACCAACCACAAGGCUGAUUCAACUUCCAGUCCCGCCUCCUCACACAGCUCAGGGUAUGAGGGUGUCACCCCAUUGGACAGGAGGAGGGUUGACAACUGUCACUCAGAGACUGAUUCCGAGGAGGAGGAGGAGGAGGAAGGGGAGACAAUGGACGGGGCUACACAUUUGAAGAUGAGUUUGAUGAUGAAAUCGGCCUAUAAGAGUGCUAUGGGGCAUCUUACGUCAAUCAAUGAGAGGAUCAAAUGGUUCCUCGUUGGUUGUGAACUAUGUACAGUUUACUUCCUCUAUGCAUUGUUCUGCAAAUUAUCAUUCAAAAGGGAGGUUUAACCAAAGCUAAGUA